UACGAAGGGGGCUAGCGUUGCUCGGAAUCACUGGGCGUAAAGGGUGCGUAGGCGGGUCUUUAAGUCAGGGGUGAAAUCCUGAAGCUCAACUCCAGAACUGCCUUUGAUACUGAAGAUCUUGAGUUCGGGAGAGGUGAGUGGAACUGCGAGUGUAGAGGUGAAAUUCGUAGAUAUUCGCAAGAACACCAGUGGCGAAGGCGGCUCACUGGCCCGGUACUGACGCUGAGGUGCGAAAGCGUGGGGAGCAAACAGG
rnacentral:rRNA from 1 species